AUUGAACGCUGGCGGCAGGCCUAACACAUGCAAGUCGAGCGGAUGAAGGGAGCUUGCUCCUGGAUUCAGCGGCGGACGGGUGAGUAAUGCCUAGGAAUCUGCCUGGUAGUGGGGGAUAACGUCCGGAAACGGGCGCUAAUACCGCAUACGUCCUGAGGGAGAAAGUGGGGGAUCUUCGGACCUCACGCUAUCAGAUGAGCCUAGGUCGGAUUAGCUAGUUGGUGGGGUAAAGGCCUACCAAGGCGACGAUCCGUAACUGGUCUGAGAGGAUGAUCAGUCACACUGGAACUGAGACACGGCCCAGACGCCUACGGGAGGCAGCAGUGGGGAAUAUUGGACAAUGGGCGAAAGCCUGAUCCAGCCAUGCCGCGUGUGUGAAGAAGGUCUUCGGAUUGUAAAGCACUUUAAGUUGGGAGGAAGGGCAGUAAGUUAACACCUUGCUGUUUUGACGUUACCAACAGAAUAAGCACCGGCUAACUUCGUGC
rnacentral:rRNA from 1 species